rnacentral:rRNA from 1 species
CCUACGGGUGGCAGCAGUGGGGAAUAUUGCACAAUGGGGGAAACCCUGAUGCAGCGACGCCGCGUGAGUGAAGAAGUAAUUCGGGAUGUAAAGCUCUAUCAGCAGGGAAGAAAAUGACGGUACCUGAGUAAGAAGCCACGGCUAACGACGUGCCAGCAGCCGCGGUAAUACGUAGGGGGCAAGCGUUAUCCGGAUUUACUGGGUGGAAAGGGAGCGUAGACGGCAGUGCAAGUCUGGAGUGCAAGGCGGGGGCUCAACCCCCGGACUGCUCUGGAAACUGUACGGCUGGAGUGCAGGAGAGGUAAGUGGAAUUCCUAGUGUAGCGGUGAAAUGCGUAGAUAUUAGGAGGAACACCAGUGGCGAAGGCGGCUUACUGGACUGUAACUGACGUUGAGGCUCGAAAGCGUGGGGAGCAAACAGGAUUAGAUACCCGUGUAGUC